rnacentral:tRNA from 1 species
GGGGAUUUAGCUCACUGGUAGAGCGCUUGCCUAGCAAGCACAAGGCCCUGGGUUCAGUCCCCAGCUCCG